rnacentral:rRNA from 1 species
CUACGGGCUGCACCAGUGGGGAAUCUUGGACAAUGGGCGCAAGCCUGAUCCAGCCAUGCCGCGUGAGUGAUGAAGGCCUUAGGGUCGUAAAGCUCUUUCGCCAGAGAUGAUAAUGACAGUAUCUGGUAAAGAAACCCCGGCUAACUCCGUGCCAGCAGCCGCGGUAAUACGGAGGGGGUUAGCGUUGUUCGGAAUUACUGGGCGUAAAGCGCGCGUAGGCGGACUAGUCAGUCAGGGGUGAAAUCCCGGGGCUCACCCCCGGAACUGCCUUUGAUACUGCUAGUCUAGAGUUCGAGAGAGGUGAGUGGAAUUCCGAGUGUAGAGGUGAGAUUCGUAGAUAUUCGGAGGAACACCAGUGGCGAAGGCGGCUCACUGGCUCGAUACUGACGCUGAGGUGCGAAAGUGUGGGGAGCAAACAGGAUUAGAUACCCGAGUAGUC